GACAGAACCUGUAUAUUUGGUGUCACUACAAGAUGCCCGUCAGGAAAUCAAUGUAUGUCUGGUGACAGUGAGAUUGGUAACAUAAGAUAUCCAUACAAAGGCUACGCACCCGCUGGUUCCUGUACCAGUGUUGGCUUUUCUUGGGAUACCAAUGUCUUUUCUUCGGGUAUCUCUUCUUCCAUUCGUAACCGUGUCUGCUGCACCACAAACCUCUGCAACUCUGCCACCACCAAAGCGAUGUCCCUCGUCACGGCUGGCCUCUUGGUUCUGGUGUCUCUGUGCGUCUCCAAGUUUUAGUAGGAUCCCGGGCACUUAUCUCCAUUCCAGUUACACAACGUAACCCCUUCCGGAUUACCGUACAUCAGCAUCCUGUAUUGUUGUAACCUGUAAUCUUCCACACUGCCGUACUGUGGGUGCAAUGGGGGUCAUUCUCUGUCCGACGCAUCCAGAUGCUUCUUUGUGCUUUCUCUAAUAUUCACAUGUGACAAUCCGCCCUGGAGGUAAAUUUACUAAGAUGGGAGUUCUAUUUAAGAUGGGAUGUUGUCCAUAGCAAUCAAUCAGAUUCCAGGUAUUAUCUUCUAGAAGGUGCUAGAUAAAUGAGAAGUAGAAUCUGCUACGGGCAACAUCCCAUCUUAAAUAGAACUCCCAUCUUAGUAAAUUUAUCCCUGGUGUGUUAGAAGUCUGGGCAACUGAAUGCGCUAAGCCUGUCCUACCCACUGUGUUAGCAAACACGCAGGCAUCAGCAUUAGUGGGUAACUCUGCACCAGCCCCGCGCUUGGUGUAAAUUAUCCGUCAGAAAAGUAGUCAGACUGCUACAAAGACGCAACAAAAUGUUAGUACAUCCCCAGAAGAUGCCCAUUACACUCCUGUGAGGUUUACCGUGCGCCCAGUUGCUGCGCAACACAGAUACACGCGACUUCAGACGACUAAUUUGCCGAAUGCGCUUUGAAAAAUCUCAGACAAAUGGCAGGAUGUACACAAAGAAAAAUGCAGUAAAAACCCUGUUUUCAGGGGGUUUUAACCGCUACUAACACCCGUCCGCACGCUUAUCGAUGCGUCGGGUAACACCAGCUAUUUAUGGCGUUACCCUAUAGAAGCCUAUGGACUUCUUACCGCAUCCUGCCACACCCUGCCCCCAGCGCCGCUUAUACCGACCCCCCCAUACCUGUGUGCAGGCAGCCUCCCAUCGCAGUCCCGGAUCCCAACCUCCUCCUCCCCCAGCAACACAGCCAGCGGUCCUUCCAGCUGCAGGGAUGAGGAGGAGGAACCCAGGACUGGCUGCAGACGUCACCUCCCACCCAGCAUACUCUCUCACCUGGCGGCGCAGGUAACACAAGGGCAGCUCUUGCCGCACUGUGAUACUAAUCACAUAUGUAAGUACAUAUUUGAUUGUGAUCGUCAUCUUAGUACAUCCCGGCCAAAGACACAUGCGCAGUAGGGGGGAAAUAAUUGCAUAUUCCUUACAUGAACUUUGUUGCGACCAACUCAGAAUCAGCCCCAGUAUAUUAUCACCUUUAUUGUUUUGACUGUUCAGAGAAUUCAAUAACCCUGACUGUAAAUUAUUCUGCCUUUAAUCAUUGUAACAGACAUAACUGUACGUCUGUGUAGUUAAUAACCCGGUAGACACCAUCCCAAUGGUCAGUAUGCCAAUGGUAAGUACUGGGGUUAGGGUUAGGCUACGGCAGUGUCGGACUGGGACAUGUAGGGCCCACCGGGGUAAUGCAGUGGUAGCGGCCCAUGUUUAGGGGUAUGUCCAGUCUCCAGAAGGGGUGUGGCCAGCUGCCAUAUAGGUUUGGCUAACCAUUAGAGAGUGCAUGGUCUGGGCCCAAUGAUAAAUAUAUAUAGUAGUAAAUAGUAUAUACUGCUAGUGCAUGCAUGAUAAUAUACCAGAUUAAUAACAGCAAUACCCUAUACACAAUACACCUAGUCCUGUGCAGUAUAAUGUGACAUAUGUAUAAUAUAUACUUCAAGUGCACAGUCUGCACCCUGAUCCCUAGAGGAGGAGGUGGGGCUCCCUAGACAUUGGGGCCCACUGGGGAUUUCCCCCGCCCCCCUGCGAUCAGAUGAUCAGAUGCUGAUUGGCUGUAUAUGCAGAGGUCCGCCUCAAUAGAGUGUCUCUUUGUGACAUGCAGGGGUCUACCUGGGAAUAACCUGGGUCCAAGGUGCAGUGUGAAAGGUUAUUAAAGGUUACACCCACACAGUGGCACCGAGAGAGGUUGGGGCGGGGGUACAAGUUACCUGGGCCCAGGUCUGGUGGUGGGGCCCAGUGGGGGCCCAGGUCCCCACCCCCCAUCUUACCUGGAAGCAAUAGCAGCAGCUUUUCUUCUCAGCCCAGCACAUACUACUGUAUGUUGGACUGCAGUGUGGCCAGGGAAAUGCUUAAAAAACAAAUUUUUCUGUAUUUUUUUCUAAGGCUGCAUGGCCACGCCUCCUGUGAUUAGGCCGUGCCCCCUGAAAAGUACCUGGGCCCAGCCAGGCUCUCCACUGCCCUGGCUGGGAGGCAUGCCAUGCUCCUGUGAGAGGGUGCGUCUCAUGUGCUAUUCAUGCCCCCAAAGAGGUGUGGCCAUGCCCCCAGCAUGCUGUGGUCACACCCCCCUCCAGGGUGGGAGAGGGGGCUCAGGAAGUUGUUGUACUGGGGCCCAGGAUUUCUCUUGGCAACCCUGCACCCACAUGCUCUUUGGAGCAGCGGAUCAGAGCAGCCGGCAGGAGGUGUCUGUCACACAAGACUCCUCCCAUGUUAUUAGCAUAUUAUCACACAGCUGCUGAGUACAAAGACGCAGCAGCUGUGAUAAUUACCCCAUCUCCAAGUCCCAUAGACUGCUACUGGGAAGGCAAAUUAGGGAAUUUAAAGUAAUAGAUAAAAGGAUUUGUAUCUCUGGCUCCUAUUAUUUGAUAAAUAGUAAAAUAGUUGUUUUAUGUGACGCUCUCUUCCAGCUUUCUCUUACACACAGUCUGUCCCUUAAGUGAUUUGUAUUCUGUACCAAUAGAGUAUAUAGCCAUUUGUACCAAUUGUGAUACAGUAUACAAUAAAAUGUAUCCAAUAUCUUA